AUCCAGUUGACGAGUCUUAAAUAGGACGAAACGCGCAUCUUCGAU
rfam:Schistosoma haematobium scaffold15_43, whole genome shotgun sequence.